CAUAGGGCGUUCUUUUCAGCUGAUACCAUGAUGGUUGGUGCGUGGCUAUUGUGUGAGAUCUGUUGCCGGGCCAUGCCAUGCUGCCGGUUUACCGCAGUCAGAGCUGGGCUAAGGCGGUUCGGCCCUGGGUGCUAGGGAGUGUGAUGCUGUUGAGCAUGCUGGACCAAACACCUGGCUGAUGAUAAAGCAGGUCUUUGCUGUCUGUCUUGAUGCGUACGAAGAAACCACACAAGCCACUUGGCUCAGAGGCCUGCAUGUCCAAACAAAAGGCUGCAAAUAAACAAGGUCUGACACCAUUUGGCAUGGUGGAUAGAAGUGGAUGGAUCUGCUGUCCUGAGUGACCAAGUGAACGAGCAGGUAGCAGCUACUCCAUAGUCUGGUGGGCUGCCCUUGUGCUGGAUUGAACAUGCCUGGUUUUUAGAUGGAAUGUGAAGACUUCAGUACAGAUCCUCCUUUCCUGCAUCUGUUUUUGGUUGCCUCAGCUUAUUCUGUGCUUAUCCCUCUGCUUCAAUAUGGUUUAUGCUGUAAAUGCUCCAGAGUGUUAAACAUUGAAGUAAAGUUGUAAUUAAACUUAUGUCUGCAGAA